UACGGGGGGGGCAAGCGUUGUUCGGAAUUACUGGGCGUAAAGGGCUCGUAGGUGGCCAACUAAGUCAGACGUGAAAUCCCUCAGCUUAACUUGGGAACUGCAUCCGAUACUGGAUGGCUUGAAUCCGGGAGAGGGAUGCAGAAUUCCAGGUGUAGCGGUGAAAUGCGUAGAUAUCUGGAGGAAUACCGGUGGCGAAGGCGGCAUCCUGGACCGGCAUUGACGCUGAGGAGCGAAAGCUAGGGGAGCAAACGGG
rnacentral:rRNA from 1 species